GUGAGUGGCAGACGGGUGAGUAACACGUGGGAACGUACCCUUCGGUACGGAAUAACUCAGGGAAACUUGAGCUAAUACCGUAUACGUCCGAGAGGAGAAAGAUUUAUCGCCGAUGGAUCGGCCCGCGUCUGAUUAGCUAGUUGGUGAGGUAAAAGCUCACCAAGGCGAUAAUCAAUAGCUGAUUUGAGAGGAUGAUCAGCCACACUGGGACUGAGAUACGGCCCAGACUCC
rnacentral:rRNA from 1 species